UCCGGUUGAUCCUGCCAGAGGCUACUGCUAUCGGGGUUCGAUUAAGCCAUGCGAGUUAAAUGUUCUUCGUGAACAUAGCGAACUGCUCAGUAACACGUGGAUAACCUACCCUUAGGACCGGAAUAACCCCGGGAAACUGGGGAUAAUACCGGAUAAGCCAUAGACGCUGGAAUGCCCUAUGGUUCAAAGCUCCGGCGCCUAAGGAUGGAUCUGCGGUCUAUCAGGUUGUAGUGGGUGUAACGUACCUACUAGCCGACGACGGAUACGGGUUGUGAGAGCAAGAGCCCGGAGAUGGAUUCUGAGACACGAAUCCAGGCCCUACGGGGUGCAGCAGGCGCGAACACUUUACAAUGCGGGAAACCGCGAUAAGGGAACCCCGAGUGCCAGCAUCAAAUGUUGGCUGUCCAGAUGAUUAAAAAUCAUUUGUUAGCAAGGGCCGGGCAAGACCGGUGCCAGCCGCCGCGGUAACACCGGCGGCCCGAGUGGUAGCCGUUUUUAUUGGGUCUAAAGGGUCCGUAGCCGGCUUGAUAAGUCCUUUGGGAAAUCUGGCAGCUUAACUGUCAGGCUUCUAAGGGAUACUGUCAGGCUUGRGACCGGAAGAGGUAAGGGGUACUCCAGGGGUAGGAGUGAAAUCUUGUAAUCCCUGGGGGACCAUCUGUGGCGAAGGCGCCUUACCAGAACGGGUCCGACGGUGAGGGACGAAAGCUAGGGGAGCAAACCGGAUUAGAUACCCGGGUAGUCCUAGCUGUAAACGAUGCUCGCUAGGUGUCAGACACGGUGCGACCGUGUUUGGUGCCGCAGGGAAGCCGUUAAGCGAGCCACCUGGGAAGUACGGUCGCAAGGCUGAAACUUAAAGGAAUUGGCGGGGGAGCAC
rnacentral:rRNA from 1 species